GUAGGUGUACCAGCGAGGGAUCAUUACUGAGUACGCUCAAUAACCCUUUGACGUACCUAACCGUUGCUUCGGCGGGCAGGGGAAGCCUCUCGCGGGCCUCCCCUCCCGGCGCCGGCCCCCACCACGGGGACGGGGCGCCCGCCGGAGGAACCAAACUCUAUUUACACGACGUCUCUUCUGAGUGGCACAAGCAAAUAAUUAAAACUUUUAACAACGGAUCUCUUGGUUCUGGCAUCGAUGAAGAACGCAGCGAAAUGCGAUAAGUAAUGUGAAUUGCAGAAUUCAGUGAAUCAUCGAAUCUUUGAACGCACAUUGCGCUCGCCAGCAUUCUGGCGAGCAUGCCUGUUCGAGCGUCAUUUCAACCCUCAAGCACCGCUUGGUUUUGGGGCCCCACGGCCGACGUGGGCCCUUAAAGGUAGUGGCGGACCCUCCCGGAGCCUCCUUUGCGUAGUAACUAACGUCUCGCACUGGGAUCCGGAGGGACUCUUGCCGUUAAACCCCCAAAUUCUUUACAGGUUGACCUCGAUCAGGUAGGGCUACCCGCUGACUAGGCAUAUCAUAAGCGCGAGG
rnacentral:rRNA from 1 species